CCCGCGCGCAGGAGGCUCCCAGCCUCCACCCAUCCGAAUCAGCUCCCGGGACUGCGCGGCACCGGGAAGAGGUGGGCUGUUGGAAGUGAGGCAGAUAGCUCCAGUGUCUGCUGUAGGCAGGUGAUCUUUCCAUGUUAGUGCGUGGCAGAAACUGGGAAGACUCAAGAUCCUCUAGGUGAGCUGGGACAGGACGAAAACACGUGAAUGGGACCACCAGUGGCACUUAAGUCCCGGCAUUAUUGUGAGGAUUAGACAAAUGGAAGGUAGAAAUCACGACCUCAGAGUGUGCUCGGGUCCUCCCUUUGCCAUCUCGUAUGCAAAUUAAAUAAUCUGAGCAAUACCACUUUUUAAAAACACAUGCAUACAGAGAAAAACUGGAAAGAUGUACACCGAAAUUCCCAGAGGGCCUCUCUGCCUACUAGGAUUACCUGUGAUUUUAAUUGUUUUCUUUUUGCUUGUCUCUGUGUCUUCAAUUUCCUACAAUGUAUAUGUAUCAUGAUUGCAAUAAAGAAACAAUUGUUUUAAAAAAUGCAACUGGGACAAGUAGCAUGACUUCUGUAGUUCAUGUGCAAAUUCCAUGUAAUUUCACUUUACCUUAUUUAAUGUGACAAGUAUAUUUAUAAGCAAAAUACUUAAUAUUGUCAUCAAUCUUCCUACUGACGUUGUACGUGUUAAAAUUUGCUUUCGUGUUACAUUUUUUCAGAUUCACCCCGAUAUAGCCCAAUGAGUAAUUAAAA